UUUCCGGUUGAUCCUGCCGCCGGCCACCGCUAUCAAGUUCCGACUAAGCCAUGCGAGUCAAGGUAUCGUAAGAUGCCGGCAAACUGCUCAGUAACACGUGGAUAAUCUAACCUUGAGUAAGGGAUAACCUCGGGAAACUGAGGAUAAUACCUUAUAAUUGCUUAAAACUGGAAUGUUUAAGCAAUAAAAGUUCCGACGCUCAAGGAUGGGUCUGCGACCUAUCAGGUAGUAGGUGGUGUAAUGGACCACCUAGCCUCAGACGGGUACGGGCCCUGGGAGGGGUAGCCCGGAGAUGGACUCUGAGACAUCAGUCCAGGCCCUACGGGGCGCAGCAGGCGCGAACACUGUGCAAUGCGCGAAAGCGCGACACGGGGAGCUUGAGUGUCUUGGCAUAGCCAAGACUUUUCUCAUUCCUAAAAAGCAUGAGGAAUAAGUGCUGGGUAAGACGGGUGCCAGCCGCCGCGGUAACACCCGCAGCACAAGUGGUGGUCACUUUUAUUGGGCCUAAAGCGUUCGUAGCCGGUUUUGUAAAUCUUUAGAUAAAGCCUGAAGCUUAACUCCAGAAAGUCUGAAGAGACUGCAAGACUUGAGAUCGGGUGAGGUUAAACGUACUUUCAGGGUAGGGGUAAAAUCCUGUAAUCCCGGAAGGACGACCAGUGGCGAAAGCGUUUAACUAGAACGAAUCUGACGGUAAGGAACGAAGGCUAGGGUAGCAAACCGGAUUAGAUACCCGGGUAGUCCUAGCUGUAAACACUGCCCAUUUGAUGUUGCUUUUCCGUUGAGGGAAGGCAGUGUCGGAGCGAAGGUGUUAAAUGGGCCGCUUGGGAAGUAUGGUCGCAAGACUGAAACUUAAAGGAAUUGGCGGGGGAGCACCGCAACGGGAGGAAUGUGCGGUUUAAUUGGAUUCAACGCCGGA
rnacentral:rRNA from 1 species